ACGGACUAGCCAAUGAAAUUGAUCCUUCAGUACAAAAGCUGAAAUUAACCCAUAAGACGAGAAGACCCUGUGGAGCUUCAAAACCAAAACCACUAAACAUGCCUCCUGGUUUUUUAGUUGGGGCGACUUUGGAGCAAAAAAAACCCUCCAAAACAUAAAUCUAUUUAUUAAGAACAACACACCAAAAAUAAUAUUAUAGACCCAGCAGUAUUAAUUUACUGUCUGAUCAAUGAACCAAGUUACCCCAGGGAUAACAGCGCUAUCCUCUUCUAGAGUCCUUAUCGACAAGGGGGUUUACGACCUCGAUGUUGG
rnacentral:rRNA from 1 species